CACGUAGGGCGCGAGCGUUGUCCGGAAUUACUGGGCGUAAAGAGCUCGUAGGCGGCCUGUUGCGUCCGCUGUGAAAGCCCGGGGCUUAACCCCGGGUCGGCAGUGGAUACGGGCAGGCUAGAGGUAGGUAGGGGAGAAUGGAAUUCCCGGUGUAGCGGUGAAAUGCGCAGAUAUCGGGAGGAACACCGGUGGCGAAGGCGGUUCUCUGGGCCUUACCUGACGCUGAGGAGCGAAAGCGUGGGGAGCGAACAGG
rnacentral:rRNA from 1 species